AAAAGAACUUUGAAGAGAGAGUUCAAAAGGGCGUGAAACCGCUUAGAAGAAAACGGACGGAACCGUCUGAGGCCCUCGGGAAUCAGUGGAACGACGCGCGAACGCGUUCAGGGUUUUCGGAGCGUAAAAGUCCGUCUCUGAGCGUCUAGUAGUCGUGUUCGUUUGGCGCAUUUCUCGAGGGUUAGCGUCGCGACCGAUGCGAAAGGCCGGUGAGGCCGCCAGGUUGAGGUCGAAACCCCUCGCGGGUAUUCGCUACCAGCUUGACGGUAACUAAUCGCUGGACCGUAGUAGGCAUCGAGCGUCAAGAUCGAAUGUCGGCGUAAUAGCGCUCAUCGAUCAGCGGAGAGUUGUCCUAUUUGUCGACGCCUGCUCGCAGGCGAUCGAUUAAUUCUUGGGCGAUUUCAAAGUUGACGAUGACGUACCGGCAUUUUGGCGUCGGCGACGUCCGAGUCGGUCACCCGUCCGACCCGUCUUGAAACACGGACCAAGGAGUCUAACGUACGCGCGAGCUAAUGAGUGGAAAACUCAUAAGCGCAAUAAAAGUAAAUGCCGUCGUUAGAUGGUUGAGGUACGAUCCAGGGUACGUGUACCUUGGCGCAGUACCGUCCCGUUCCGAUCGCAUGUCGGUAGGGCGGAGAUAGAGUGCAUACGUUGGGACCCGAAAGAUGGUGAACUAUGCCUGAGCAGAGCGAAGCCAGAGGAAACUCUGGUGGAGGUUCGUAGCGGUUCUGACGUGCAAAUCGAUCGUCAGACUUGGGUAUAGGGGCGAAAGACUAAUCGAACC
rnacentral:rRNA from 1 species